rnacentral:rRNA from 1 species
AAAGAGAAGCGACCUCGCGAGAGCAAGCGGACCUCAUAAAGUGCGUCGUAGUCCGGAUUGGAGUCUGCAACUCGACUCCAUGAAGUCGGAAUCGCUAGUAAUCGUGGAUCAGAAUGCCACGGUGAAUACGUUCCCGGGCCUUGUACACACCGCCCGUCACACCAUGGGAGUGGGUUGCAAAAGAAGUAGGUAGCUUAACCUUCGGGAGGGCGCUUACCACUUUGUGAUUCAUGACUGGGGUGAAGUCGUAACAAGGUAACCGUAGGGGAACCUGCGGUUGGAUCACCUCCUUACCUUAAAGAAGC